rnacentral:rRNA from 1 species
AUUGAACGCUGGCGGCAGGCCUAACACAUGCAAGUCGAGCGGUAACAGAAAGUAGCUUGCUACUUUGCUGACGAGCGGCGGACGGGUGAGUAAUGCUUGGGAACAUGCCUUGAGGUGGGGGACAACAGUUGGAAACGACUGCUAAUACCGCAUAAUGUCUACGGACCAAAGGGGGCUUCGGCUCUCGCCUUUAGAUUGGCCCAAGUGGGAUUAGCUAGUUGGUGAGGUAAUGGCUCACCAAGGCGACGAUCCCUAGCUGGUUUGAGAGGAUGAUCAGCCACACUGGGACUGAGACACGGCCCAGACUCCUACGGGAGGCAGCAGUGGGGAAUAUUGCACAAUGGGCGCAAGCCUGAUGCAGCCAUGCCGCGUGUGUGAAGAAGGCCUUCGGGUUGUAAAGCACUUUCAGUCAGGAGGAAAGGUUAGUAGUUAAUACCUGCUAGCUGUGACGUUACUGACAGAAGAAGCACCGGCUAACUCCGUGCCAGCAGCCGCGGUAAUACGGAGGGUGCGAGCGUUAAUCGGAAUUACUGGGCGUAAAGCGUACGCAGGCGGUUUGUUAAGCGAGAUGUGAAAGCCCCGGGCUCAACCUGGGAACUGCAUUUCGAACUGGCAAACUAGAGUGUGAUAGAGGGUGGUAGAAUUUCAGGUGUAGCGGUGAAAUGCGUAGAGAUCUGAAGGAAUACCGAUGGCGAAGGCAGCCACCUGGGUCAACACUGACGCUCAUGUACGAAAGCGUGGGGAGCAAACGGGAUUAGAUACCCCGGUAGUCCACGCCGUAAACGAUGUCUACUAGAAGCUCGGAGCCUCGGUUCUGUUUUUCAAAGCUAACGCAUUAAGUAGACCGCCUGGGGAGUACGGCCGCAAGGUUAAAACUCAAAUGAAUUGACGGGGGCCCGCACAAGCGGUGGAGCAUGUGGUUUAAUUCGAUGCAACGCGAAGAACCUUACCUACACUUGACAUACAGAGAACUUACUAGAGAUAGUUUGGUGCCUUCGGGAACUCUGAUACAGGUGCUGCAUGGCUGUCGUCAGCUCGUGUUGUGAGAUGUUGGGUUAAGUCCCGCAACGAGCGCAACCCCUAUCCUUAGUUGCUAGCAGGUAAUGCUGAGAACUCUAAGGAGACUGCCGGUGAUAAACCGGAGGAAGGUGGGGACCACGUCA